GCUCCGGUGGCCUUAGUGGUUAGAGUGUCCGCCUCGGAUUCGGAACGUCGUGGAUUCGAUCCCCAGCCGAGUCA